rnacentral:rRNA from 1 species
AAAGCGUACGCAGGUGGCACAUCAAGUCUGUUGUUAAAGCGCGGAGCUCAACUCCGUAAAGGCGAUAGAAACUGGUGAGCUAGAGUAUGGUAGGGGCAGGAGGAAUUCCCAGUGUAGCGGUGAAAUGCGUAGAUAUUGGGAAGAACACAAGCGGCGAAAGCGUCCUGCCAAGCCAAAACUGACACUCAUGUACGAAAGCUAGGGGAGCGAAUGGGAUUAGAUACCCGAGU